AGAGUUUGAUCAUGGCUCAGAUUGAACGCUGGCGGCGUGCUUUACACAUGCAAGUCGAACGGCAGCAUGCCUAGCAAUAGGUGAUGGCGAGUGGCGGACGGGUGAGUAAUACAUCGAGACGUGCCAUAUAGUUGGGGAUACCGCAUCGAAAGAUGAGUUAAUACCGAAUAAUCUCUAGGAGGAAAGGUGGGGACCUGCGAGGGCCUAUCGCUAUUUGAGCGGUCGAUGGACGAUUAGUUAGUUGGUGAGGUAAAAGCUCACCAAGGCGAUGAUCGAUAGCUGUUCUGAGAGGAAGAUCAGCCACACUGGGACUGAGACACGGCCCAGACUCCUACGGGAGGCAGCAGUGGGAAUUUUGGACAAUGGGGGCAACCCUGAUCCAGCAACGCCGCGUGAAUGAAGAAGGCCUUAGGGUUGUAAAGUUCUUUUAUCUGGGGACAAAAGUUAAUGGCUAAUAACCAUUGACGCUGAGGGUACCAGAAGAAUAAGCACCGGCUAACUACGUGCCAGCAGCCGCGGUAAUACGUAGGGUGCGAGCGUUAAUCGGAAUUACUGGGCGUAAAGGGUGCGUAGGCGGAUAUAUAAGUUAGAUGUGAAAUCCCCGAGCUUAACUUGGGAAUGGCAUUUAAGACUGUAUGUCUAGAGUCUGUAAGAGGGGGGUAGAAUUCCGAGUGUAGCAGUGAAAUGCGUAGAGAUUCGGAGGAACACCAGUGGCGAAGGCGGCCCCCUGGUAUAAGACUGACGCUGAGGCACGAAAGCGUGGGUAGCAAACAGGAUUAGAUACCCUGGUAGUCCACGCCCUAAACGAUGUCUACUUGCUGUUGGAGGGGAACCUUUAGUAGCGAAGCUAACGUGAGAAGUAGACCGCCUGGGGAGUUCGGUCGCAAGAUUAAAACUCAAAGGAAUUGGCGGGGACCCGCACAAGCGGUGGAUGAUGUGGAUUAAUUCGAUGCAACGCGAAGAACCUUACCUGCUCUUGACAUGCUAGGAAGAUCUAAGAGAUUAGAUUGUGCCGCAAGGAACCUASACACA
rnacentral:rRNA from 1 species